rnacentral:rRNA from 1 species
UACGGAGGGAGCUAGCGUUGUUCGGAAUUACUGGGCGUAAAGCGCGCGUAGGCGGCUUUGUAGGUUAGAGGUGAAAGCCCGGAGCUCAACUCCGGAACUGCCUUUAAGACUGCAUCGCUUGAAUCCAGGAGAGGUGAGUGGAAUUCCGAGUGUAGAGGUGAAAUUCGUAGAUAUUCGGAAGAACACCAGUGGCGAAGGCGGCUCACUGGACUGGUAUUGACGCUGAGGUGCGAAAGCGUGGGGAGCAAACAGG